rnacentral:misc_RNA from 1 species
GGCUUUUUCUCCUUUGUUUUUUUUCUUAAAGAAAAUUAAAAUAAAAUUAUAGUGCAUCACGUGCUUUCCAUGUGAUGCCGGUCGGCGGGAGCCGGAAGGAUGAGAAGACGAUAAAAUAAGUGUUGAAAUACUCCAUCUCCGUUCUCUCCUCAGUCCCUGCGGCUGCCAAAGAUGAAAAUUCCUCAAUUCCACAAUCCCAAUUUACGU